AGCGAACGCUGGCGGCAUGCCUAACACAUGCAAGUCGAACGAACCCUUCGGGGUUAGUGGCGCACGGGUGCGUAACGCGUGGGAAUCUGCCCUUUGCUUCGGAAUAACAGUUAGAAAUGACUGCUAAUACCGGAUGAUGUCUUCGGACCAAAGAUUUAUCGGCAAGGGAUGAGCCCGCGUAGGAUUAGGUAGUUGGUGGGGUAAAGGCCUACCAAGCCGACGAUCCUUAGCUGGUCUGAGAGGAUGAUCAGCCACACUGGGACUGAGACACGGCCCAGACUCCUACGGGAGGCAGCAGUGGGGAAUAUUGGACAAUGGGCGCAAGCCUGAUCCAGCAAUGCCGCGUGAGUGAUGAAGGCCUUCGGGUCGUAAAGCUCCUUUACCAGGGAUGAUAAUGACAGUACCUGGAGAAUAAGCUCCGGCUAACUCCGUGCCAGCCGCCGCGGUAACAC
rnacentral:rRNA from 1 species